AUGAACGCUGGCGGCGUGCUUAACACCUGCAAGUCGAACGAAGCAUUUAAGACAGAUUACUUCGGUUUGAAGUCUUUUAUGACUGAGUGGCGGACGGGUGAGUAACGCGUGGGUAACCUGCCUCAUACAGGGGGAUAGCAGCUGGAAACGGCUGGUAAUACCGCAUAAGCGCACAGUACCACAUGGUACAGUGUGAAAAACUCCGGUGGUAUGAGAUGGACCCGCGUCUGAUUAGCUUGUUGGCGGGGUAACGGCCCACCAAGGCGACGAUCAGUAGCCGACCUGAGAGGGUGACCGGCCACAUUGGGACUGAGACACGGCCCAGACUCCUACGGGAGGCAGCAGUGGGGAAUAUUGCACAAUGGAGGAAACUCUGAUGCAGCGACGCCGCGUGAGUGAAGAAGUAGUUCGCUAUGUAAAGCUCUAUCAGCAGGGAAGAUAGUGACGGUACCUGACUAAGAAGCUCCGGCUAAAUACGUG
rnacentral:rRNA from 1 species